rnacentral:rRNA from 1 species
CCUACGGGGUGCAGCAGUAGGGAAUAUUGCUCAAUGGGGGAAACCCUGAAGCAGCAACGCCGCGUGGAGGAUGAAGGCUUUCGGAUUGUAAACUCCUUUUGUUAGAGAAGAUAAUGACGGUAUCUAACGAAUAAGCACCGGCUAACUCCGUGCUAGCAGCCGCGGUAAUACGGAGGGUGCAAGCGUUACUCGGAUGCACUGGGCGUAAAGAGCGCGUAGGCGGGAUAGCAAGUCAGAUGUGAAAUCCUAUGGCUUAACCAUAGAACUGCAUUUGAUACUGGUAGUCUUGAGUAUGGGAGAGGUAGGUGGAAUUCGUGGUGUAGGGGUAAAAUCCGUAGAGAUCAAGAAGAAUACUCAUUGCGAAGGCAGCCUGCUAGAACAUAACUGACGCUGAUGCGCGAAAGCGUGGGGAGCAAACAGGAUUAGAUACCCGGGUAGUC